UACGGGGGGAGCAAGCGUUGUUCGGAUUUACUGGGCGUAAAGGGCGCGUAGGCGGCGCAACAAGUCACUUGUGAAAUCUCCGGGCUUAACCCGGAGCGGCCAAGUGAUACUGUCGUGCUAGAGUGCGGAAGGGGCUACUGGAAUUCUCGGUGUAGCGGUGAAAUGCGUAGAUAUCGAGAGGAACACCUGCGGCGAAGGCGGGUUGCUGGGCCGACACUGACGCUGAUGCGCGAAAGCCAGGGGAGCGAACGGG
rnacentral:rRNA from 1 species